AUAGCAGCUGAAAGCCUUUCCAACUGCAGUGACACGUUCUUCGCUCAGGUGGCACACACCACACAAACCCCGGGACAACCAACAGGAUCGUUCUCCUGCACUGCAAGACAUUGAAGAAGAAGUGGAGCAGGAGAUGUUUGUCAAACCUGGGGCUUCCCAGCGAGAAGAAAUGUUGACCCUCCAAGUUAAAAAUACCAUGUUGCAACUUAAUGGUCAAAACGUCAGACUGGCGGCUAAAAAUGGCCGCAAUUCUAAAAUACCUGGCCUCCAUCUGUCAGCAACACAUGGGAAGGAGACAGUGGGUCAGCUUACGGCCUGCACGCCGACCCAAGAGGGCACAGCACAGUUGGACUUGCUGUUGCUCAAGUCACCCAGGCCUGGCUCAGAGAGGGAGGCCUUGAAUCAGCCAGUCAGACGCCCUCUGAAGCUCGCCCCGCUGGAGCUGCCGGAGGAGGUGAGGGAGGCUCAGAGGCAGAAACUUAAGUUCAUCCAACAGGAAGUCAAACCUGCUUCCUGUAAACUGGAUGUGGCGGUAAAUGAGCCUCGUGUGAGGAAGGUGAAAUCCUGUGUGAGACAGAGACUGGUGAAAGCUGCCGUGUGCCCUUCUGCUUCCACUGAUCCACUCAGAGCCCAACAGCAAAACACCUCCUCAAGGCCCCAGCUGACACGCUCCAUCCGCACAGAGCAGAGUGGAGACAAGCACCUGGUGGAUGUGGCGUGUCGAGGCACCCCUGCUCCUCAGCGCAGCAAGCCUGCCCCUCCUUUGCUUUCUCCACGAGCUAAAGCUCCGGCCGCACGUGACGCGACAGAGGUGGCACGCCAAACCCCGAGCACCCUCCAGCAAGAGGUGGGGAGGAGGCGGCUGAGGCUGAGGAGAACACAAUGCCUAGAAGAGGAUCAGUGCAAUCCAAACGCGUCAACAGGGGGAUUAUCUGCAGAUAAAGACAAGCUGGCCCAAGGUGUUCAAGGCAAAGUGCAGCAAGGGGAGAGGGCUCCGAGAAUCCGGCUGCAUGCUGCUGGAAAAGGCAUCAAAGAGCCUGCGGCAGCCUCCGGGGAGCACGGACGUGUCAGGAAAAACCAUCAAGAGGAUUCCAGUCAGCAAUCUGCAAGAUGCACUCCGAGUCGACAGUCGGCUAAAGGUGGAAGCGGCGAGCACGUGCUGGACAGUGUGAAGCCAAGUGCUUCUACCUGGAGAUUAAAGAGGAAAACAGCACAACAAUGCAGUCCAUCUGGAACGUCUCCAACUGUAAUUAAAUUGGAUCUUUCACUUUUGCAGCUCAGGACUUUGUGAAAUGAUGUCAUGCUUAGAGAUGCACCAGAAACAGGCUUAUGAAUAUAUAGGCUACUGAACCAAUGAUGUGAAGGAUGCAUGAACCAAAUGAUGUCAUCAGAAGCUCUCAGAAAUAAAAAUGUUUCCAAGUCUGAUCUAAAUCGGUUUCCUCUCCUGUGUGUAUGAUUUAAGAGCAGGUUGCCAGAAUGAUCUGUUUAAGUUCUGUGAUGAACAACAGAUGCACCACCACCCUGUGUUCUUUACAGGAAGC
rnacentral:lncRNA from 1 species